rnacentral:rRNA from 1 species
UGCCAGACUCCUACGGGAGGCAGCAGUGAGGAAUAUUGGUCAAUGGGAGGAAUCCUGAACCAGCCAUGCCGCGUGCAGGACGACGGCUCUACGAGUUGUAAACUGCUUUUGUACCGGGGUAAAAUGCCUUACGAGUAGGGUUUUGAAAGUACGGUACGAAUAAGGAUCGGCUAACUCCGUGCCAGCAGCCGCGGUAAUACGGAGGAUCCGAGCGUUAUCCGGAUUCAUUGGGUUUAAAGGGUGCGUAGGUUGUUUUAUAAGUUAGCGGUGAAAUACCGAUGCUCAACAUCGGGGCUGCCGCUAAUACUGUAGGACUAGAGAUCGGAUGCAGCAGGCGGAAUGUGUAGUGUAGCGGUGAAAUGCAUAGAUAUUACACAGAACACCGAUUGCGAAGGCAGCUUACUAAACUGUGACUGACAUUGAUGCUCGAAAGUGUGGGUAUCAAACAGGAUUAGAUACCCUCGUA